CACAAGCACCGGAAUGUGUAUCAUCAAAUGUAUCCAGACAGAAGAGUAAAGUAGAGUGGGAACUCCACUUCCAUUUGAACUCCAUGUUGACUGACUCAACUUCCUCAAAAAUUACUCUUUGGGGUCUGGGCUGUUCAAUCUGGACUGCAAAAAGCAAACAUACUUGCCCGUUUGUAAUUCACUUCUACUAUCAGGUUAUUAAUUAUGUGCUAAAUCUCGUCUACAUACCAAAACCCAGAUUAACCUUCCUCAGAUGCCAGCUUUCGAAAUGUUACUGCUGUGCUCAAAAGCUUUCUGUUGUUUCUCCUUAGCCUAUGGGAUCAAGUCCACCCUCCUGAGUCUGGCCAGUUCUCCCCUUCCAACCUCAUUCUCCAUCUCUCCCAAACUGGAAGCAGGACUUGGCAGCGGUUGGGGCCAAUGGCUUUGGAUUCAGGAGGCCUCAGCUCACAUUACAGCUUCAACACUUACCAGCUUGGACUGCAUGGGAAACCUAAUCUAAAAGCUCACUGCUAACCAUCAAGUGGAUUCGACACUACCAUCUCAGCUGAAGAAAUUCAGAGAGAAGAACGUCAUCAGUCAAGUGGGAGCCGAAAAUAAAGCAGUGGUCCAGGUCUCCCUGGAGACCCAGGUCUCUCUCAACCUGAAGGAAAGAUGCAUCAGCCAUUUCCAGGGUAGAGAGAUGUGCAACAAGAAAGGCUGGGCCUCCAAGAUGUCUUCCUGUCUUUCAAUACUUAGUAUCAAUAACGUUCAAUAGAACAUUUGAAAUUCAAAACAGAGUAGAAAAUGUGGUGGAGUUGGAAGAAAGAAACCAAAUAGAUUCACAGUUAAAGUAGCAAUGCCAACCAAUGAAAAUGAUUUGCCUACC